UACGUAGGGGGCAAGCGUUGUCCGGAUUUAUUGGGCGUAAAGAGCGUGUAGGCGGCCAGACAGGUCUGCUGUGAAAACUCGAGGCUCAACCUCGAGACGCCGGUGGAAACCGUUUGGCUAGAGUCCGGAAGAGGAGAGUGGAAUUCCUGGUGUAGCGGUGAAAUGCGCAGAUAUCAGGAAGAACACCCGUGGCUAAAGCGGCUCUCUAGUACGGUACUGACGCUGAGACGCGAAAGCGUGGGGAGCGAACAGG
rnacentral:rRNA from 1 species